rnacentral:rRNA from 1 species
GAUGAACGCUGGCGGCGUGCCUAAUACAUGCAAGUCGAGCGAACGGACGAGAAGCUUGCUUCUCUGAUGUUAGCGGCGGACGGGUGAGUAACACGUGGAUAACCUACCUAUAAGACUGGGAUAACUUCGGGAAACCGGAGCUAAUACCGGAUGAUAUUUUGAACCGCAUGGUUCAAAAGUGAAAGACGGUCUUGCUGUCACUUAUAGAUGGAUCCGCGCUGCAUUAGCUAGUUGGUAAGGUAACGGCUUACCAAGGCAACGAUGCAUAGCCGACCUGAGAGGGUAAUCGGCCACACUGGAACUGAGACACGGUCCAGACUCCUACGGGAGGCAGCAGUAGGGAAGCUUCCGCAAUGGGCGAAAGCCUGACGGAGCAACGCCGCGUGAGUGAUGAAGGUCUUCGGAUCGUAAAACUCUGUUAUUAGGGAAGAACAUAUGUGUAAGUAACUGUGCACAUCUUGACGGUACCUAAUCAGAAAGCCACGGCUAACUACGUG